ACCUAUCAACGGAAGAGCCCAGAAGAGAAGAUCAUUUUUCAAUAGACACAUAUCCAACCCCUUUCACCUGCUUCUGCCAUCUGUAAUAUGCCAUAAUGCAAAGUACCUGUGAUAAGGUGAAGACUGCCUUCUGCUUCUGCCCAGUACCAGAGGAACGAGCAAAAUGCCCAGAAUAGGACGAGCAACUUUAUAAAUUCCCUUUAUGCACAACUCAGUGGAUGCUUGGAACUGUUUAAACCUGGGGAACAUGAAGAGGAGAAAAAUUGAAGUUUGGCAAUUGACCACACAGACAUUAAAGUUACAGACACUGAAAAGCAAAGCAAAUGAGUAAUUGCUGGUCUUUUAAUAACAAGAACUGUGAUACAGUGAAGAAGUGAAGUGGGUAUAGCACCAUGGGAAGAAGCCGUAAAGGUCUCAAGUUCUUUAACUCCUAGCAAAUCUCUGCUACCAGCUCCUGUGGUUAGUGUAAUAGCAAAUGGCUAUUGAAACAAGUUUGUGGUGUCCUUCAUGAUCCUUCUCACUGGCCUGGGCAGGAAAAGCCAGAUGUAUAAAAAUGUCAAUAAAUUGUUGUAAGACCCCAUUGAAAACAACAGUUUAGUGAAAUGACAAGGAAAUGUAUGAAAUGAUUUGUGGGUUUAGUUUUUGAGUUUAGCUUUCUCUGCUAAAAAUGUUUCAGAACUUUCUGGGUUUUGGAGAUAUAACAUCAAAAUACAAAGUUUGCUUAACCACGUGAGACAACCCAAACAGUGCCACUGGCAAGUCCUGCAGGGGAGCAAAAAAUGAUGAAAACGUGUGUGAUGUUAUUUUUUAUUCCUCCUGGUUAUCCAUCAGGCAGAAACAGUUAAACCAGAACCAACAGCAUGGUGUAUUUCACAGAAAUCUGAGUCUAUUACCUCUUUUUACAUUAUAAGGUAGACAGGAAUCUCAUAGUGCACAAUGUACAAGGAAAGAAUCCCUCUGGGCAGCCUCUCCUCCCAUGGGAGGCCUGGAACAGCAGGGGGCAUUUGAAGCAUUGCAGCAUUUGUUCUCUACUUGACGUUCAUUCACAGGUUGAUAUUUUUUUUGUUCUACCCUCUCAGUUUCUCCGUUUCUUGUCACAUCAAGGAGAGGAUUCAAAACAGUUCCCACUAGUGGAGACUUUAUAUUUUCACACCCUAUCAGCAUAAUCAAAAUAGCUGGAUGCUUAUAACAUGGCUGUAGAGGUGCCCUGUGUGGCAUCAGCCAUAAGAGCUGUCUGUGUAAAUGAAACAAAAGGAAAAUCUUCGUAGUCUUCAGACCAAAAAUUGUCUUUCCAAAAAUACUGCUAUGCUCGGGAGCACAGAAGAAUGCCAUGCAUCAGAGGUGAUCAGACUGGAUUGCCAACCUUUUGUUCAGCUGUCAGAUCAUCUGAAUGAAGAUGGCUUAGUGUCAGGCAUCCUGUUACUGUUGCAGCUCCUUCAUGCUUAUGCUUGUUUAAUUUGUUCCCUGGGUGAAGCUGGCAAGACUCAGCACAACGUGAAUGAUCUUGCCCCUGGAAUCCUGAGCAUUUGCCUAGGUGAUCUACACAGAAUCCCUGCGCUGCUAACAUGGCUCACAUCCUGCUUAUUGCAUGUUGAUAUCAAUGUAAUUAAUAAUGAUCACAGAUUAACCUUCUUCUCUCAAAGCAAGAUAACAUUAAUAGUGGUUGAAGUCCUCCUCUAUGCUUUAAUUCAUAAUAUUUUACUUUGAAGUGUUUCUCUCAGUGCCAUUUUCUCAUCUAAAUAUAUUGCCAUGUAAAGCCCACUAAGCUGUUUGGUGCCCAUUUAUUGCAUGUAAGCAUUAAGGAUCAAUUCCAUCCCCUCAAGCCUUUCCUUAGCUUUGGACCAUGUGCCUUUAUAGACUUUACAAGAUGUGCUACCACAUUCAUCACUAUAAAUUCCAAUGUACGCUUAAGGACUUCAAUGUUUGGUCCCAGGAGUCUUCAGAUAUAUGUGAGUUAGGUACUCAUUAAGGUUUAACAAAUGUGCAAAAUAAAUAUAUUC